rnacentral:rRNA from 1 species
AAUGAACGUUGGCGGCGUGGAUUAGGCAUGCAAGUCGAGCGCUCAUCAGCAAUGGUGGGAGCGGCGAACGGCGUAGUAAUGUGUAGGAACGUACCCUCUGGUCGGGGAUAGCUACGGGAAACUGUAGGUAAUACCCGAUGAUCUCUGUGGAGCAAAGGUGUGAUUCCGCCGGGGGAGCGGCUUACAUGAUAUUAGCUAGUUGGUGGGGUAAUGGCCUACCAAGGCUUAGAUGUCUAGGGGGUGUGAGAGCAUGGCCCCCACGACCGGAACUGAGAUACUGUCCGGACACCUACGGGUGGCUGCAGUCGAGAAUCUUCCGCAAUGGACGAAAGUCUGACGGAGCGACGCCGCGUGCGGGAUGAAGGCCCUUGGGUUAUAAACCGCUGUCAGAGGGGAUGAAAUCUCCGAGGGUUAUCCCUCGGAGUUGACAGAGCCUCAGAGGAAGCACGGGCUAACUCCGUG